rnacentral:lncRNA from 1 species
GGGGCCACCAUUGUAUAUGUAGUCCAUUGUUGACUAAAAUGUUAAGUGGUGCAUGAGUGUAGUCCACCUAUCUUCCACCAGUUAUUUUCCCUUUAAGACCUGCAACACACACUUUUAUUGGUCCUUUUUAUUGGCCUCUUCUCACUGGCUUUAGAGUGCAGAAUUAGAAAACUCUUUCAUAGUCCUGCAACAAUCUUCCAUCUAAUAUCUCACAAAUUACUCAUUUCCUUUUCCCCCUCAAUAUGUAUUUUGGAGAAUCUGACUAUAAAGACUCUGUAGGUUGGCCACUUACUGAUAUGAAGGUGGAGGAGGACAAAUACUUUCUCUUACCUAAAUGAAUGCCAAAUAACUUCAGCAGCCGGCUCCUCUUAUCCCAUCUUUUCUUAUAAAUGGAAACUCCACAAGAGCAAUGACUGUAUUUUAUAUACCCUGUCAAGGUGUAGCAAAUACUGGGAGUGUUUAAUAAAUAAUACAUGGGAGUGAAGUUCCCAAAUAAUAAAACAGACUAUAACCCUAUCAAUUCCUGCUAGUGAUGCAGACGCUGCACUUAAAACUACUAAGGGGGGAAAAAAGACAUCUUUAACCAUAACGUCCAGAAAUGCCAUACAAGAAGCAUGGCACCAUCAGCUGCUGGUAAGGGCUUCAGGGUGGAUCCUCUUAUGGUCGAAGGCAAAGGGGAGCUGGUGUGUAAUCACAAGGCAAGAGAGGGAGCAAGAGAGAAGAGGGAGGAACCAGGCUCUUUUUAACAACCAGCUCUCUGGGAAUUGAUACAGCAAAAACAAUUGUUACUAUGAGGACAGCAUUAAGCCAUUCAUGAGGGACUCUCUCCCAUGACCCGGACAUCAUUUAUUAGGUACCACCUCUAACAUUGGAGGUUAAAUUUCAACAUGAGAUUUGGAGGGGUCAAAUAAAGCAUCUCCAAAAUACAGCAGUGCAUUAUCUCAUUUCAUUCUUAGAACUUUCAGUUCAUAAACAUUUAUCUUCUAUUUGAUUCACAGCAACAUGAGAAAGUACCAAUAAUAUCCACAUCUUAAAAUGAAACAAAUGAGAAUUCAAGAGAUUAAAUAGGAUGUCCAAGUUCAUACAUUCAGUUAUUACAUGUAGAUCCGGAAUUCAAACCCUCGGUUUUCUGAGUCCCCAGCCAAUAGCGUUAUUCACAAUACUAUACGGUCUUCUCCUCAACUUAGCACCUAUAAGACUUGAAUAAUAAGACUUUUCCUUGUGAAAUUAUGAGGAAUCCUAUCAUUUGAUGGCUUAAUAAUACAAAUCUUCACCUGUGCAAGGCAGACAAGUGUUAUUGCUCAAAGCAUAAAGAUGGGGUUUAACGAACAGAAAUAAUUAUUCAAGAAUCAAGUGGAGCAUGUCCUCUUGUUUGAUUUCACCUUUGUAUUCUAACAUUUGAGCAAUGAUAUAUUUAAUAGGACAACAGCUAAUAGUAGAAAACUUGUUCAGUAUUUAAAGUAACAUUACCAAAGACACAAUCUCCUGCUGUGCAUAUUGAAAUAUUAAAUUUUCUUUACUUUGUUGCCUAAUAAUUUGGGCAGAUUAUGAGAAGGAAGUGAGGUGGCCAAAAAGUCAGUGACAAGCAUUAUAAAUUAUGACCAUUGUAUGUUGUACAAUUCUUCAUUUUAAAUGUUUUUAAAAUUUUAUGCUGCAACUAGACUUUAAAAAAAUAAUUUAUAUGUAAACUUUCUCUUAGCAUUCCUGCAGAUCAUCCUGUGUUACCAAACAUUAGUUGGAUAUAGUAGCUAUAAACAGAUAAGAUUUGAGAAAAUAAUAUAAAAAUAGCUGUGUUUGUUAUACAACCCAGCCUCUUUAGAAUAUAGGGUUGAUUUUUACAAACCAUACUUCAAUCAACAUCAAACAUAUGGCAUUGUGGUUAUGAGAAAAAU